rnacentral:rRNA from 1 species
GGCGAACCGUGCGAACGUUGUUCGGAAUCACUGGGCUUAAAGGGCGCGUAGGCGGGUGCUCAAGUCCGGGGUGAAAUCCUCCAGCUCAACUGGAGAACUGCCUCGGAUACUGGGUGCCUCGAGGGUGGUAGGGGUAUGCGGAACUAUCGGUGGAGCGGUGAAAUGCGUUGAUAUCGAUAGGAACUCCGGUGGCGAAGGCGGCAUACUGGACCACAUCUGACGCUGAGGCGCGAAAGCCAGGGGAGCAAACGGG